rnacentral:rRNA from 1 species
GACGAACGCUGGCGGCGUGCUUAACACAUGCAAGUCGAACGGAAAGGUCCUGCUUUUGUGGGGUGCUCGAGUGGCGAACGGGUGAGUAACACGUGAGUAACCUGUCCUUGACUUUGGGAUAACUUCAGGAAAAUGGGGCUAAUAUCGGAUAGGAGCUCCUGCUGCAUGGUGGGGGUUGGAAAGUUUCGGCGGUUGGGGAUGGACUCGCGGCUUAUCAGCUUGAUGGUGGGGUAGUGGCUUACCAAGGCUGUGACGGGUAGCCGGCCUGAGAGGGUGACCGGCCACAUGGGGACUGAGAGACGGCCCAGACUCCUACGGGAGGCAGCAGUGGGGAAUAUUGCACAAUGGGCGGAAGCCUGAUGCAGCAGCGCCGCGUGCGGGAUGACGUCCUUCGAGGUGUAAACCGCUUUCUCCUGUGACGAAGCGUGAGUGACGGUAAUGGGUAAGAAAGCACCGGCUAACUACGUG